rnacentral:rRNA from 1 species
AUUGAACGCUGGCGGCAGGCUUAACACAUGCAAGUCGAGCGGGGUGAUGGUGCUUGCACUAUCACUUAGCGGCGGACGGGUGAGUAAUGCUUAGGAAUCUGCCUAUUAGUGGGGGACAACAUCUCGAAAGGGAUGCUAAUACCGCAUACGUCCUACGGGAGAAAGCAGGGGAUCACUUGUGACCUUGCGCUAAUAGAUGAGCCUAAGUCGGAGUAGCUAGUUGGUGGGGUAAAGGCCUACCAAGGCGACGAUCUGUAGCGGGUCCGAGAGGAUGAUCCGCCACACUGGGACUGAGACACGGCCCAGACUCCUACGGGAGGCAGCAGUGGGGAAUAUUGGACAAUGGGGGGAACCCUGAUCCAGCCAUGCCGCGUGUGUGAAGAAGGCCUUAUGGUUGUAAAGCACUUUAAGCGAGGAGGAGGCUCUUUUGGUUAAUACCCAAGAUGAGUGGACGUUACUCGCAGAAUAAGCACCGGCUAACUCUGUGCCAGCAGCCGCAGUAA